GCCUUCGUGGUGUAGUGGACAGCACCCUCGACGCGUAUUCGAGAGGUCCGUGGUUCGAGUCCUCGCGAGGUCA
rfam:Stegodyphus mimosarum contig40477, whole genome shotgun sequence.